GGGGGAGAGGACGGUGCGGUGGGGCAGCUGUCUCUACAGAAGCACUCUCUUGUUCCCACCCGUAUAAGGUCUCAGUUCCUGGCAAGGCUGUUUGGUUGGCGUGGGUGGAGGGAUCGGGUAACCAGGUGAGCAGCUGAACAGGAGACCACAGCAGCUCAACAGGAGACCACAGCAGCUCAACAGGAGACCACAGCAGCUCAACAGGACACCACAGCAGCUCAACAGGACACCACAGCAGCUCAACAGGAGACCACAGCAGCUCAACAGGAGACCACAGCAGCUCAACAGGAGACCACAGCAGCUCAACAGGACACCACAGCAGCUCAACAGGACACCACAGCAGCUCAACAGGAGACCACAGCAGCUCAACAGGAGACCACAGCAGCUCAACAGGAGACCACAGCAGCUCAACAGGAGACCACAGCAGCUCAACAGGACACCACAGCAGCUGAACAGGAGACCACAGCAGCUCAACAGGAGACCACAGCAGCUCAACAGGAGACCACAGCAGCUCAACAGGAGACCACAGCAGCUCAACAGGAGACCACAGCAGCUCAACGGGUGUCGUGGAAUUAUUGUAAUCAGAAGGAGAGACUUUUACAUUUCCUCAAAACAAGUAACUUUAUUAUGUAAUUACUGCAGUAAUGGAGCUGGUUGGUAACCACCCCUGGAGACCACAGCAGUAAACACAAGAAGCAGAGAGCUGCAGCUCAGACAGUAAUGGAGCUGGUUGGUAACCACCCCUGGAGGAGACUACAGCAGGUUGACAGGAAGCUACACAGCAGGUCAACAGGAAGCUACACAGCAGAUCAACAGACCACAGCAGCUCAACAGGAAGCUACACAGCAGCUCAACAGGAAGCUACACAGCAGCUCAACAGGAGACUACAGCAGCUCAACAGGAGACUACAGCAGCUCAACAGGAGACUACACAGCAGAUCAACAGGAGACUACAGCAGCUCAACAGGAGACUACAGCAGCUCAACAGGAAGCUACACAGCAGAUCAACAGGAGACAACAGCAGCUUAACAGGAAGCUACACAGCAGAUCAACAGGAAGUUACACAGCAGGUCAACAGGAAGCUACACAGCAGAUCAACAGGAGACAACAGCAGCUAAACAGGAAGCUACACAGCAGAUCAACAGGAGACAACAGCAGCUAAACAGGAAGCUACACAGCAGAUCAUCAGGACACCACAGCAGCUCAACAGGAGACCACAGCUGCUCAACUGGAGACCACAGCUGCUCAACUGGAGACCACAUAAUCUCAACAGGAGACCACAGCAGAACCAGGGGGUUCUGGCGAUCAACAUGGCUCCACCAAAUACUCCACCAGCGUGUCUAAGUGUUUCUGCCUGUGUAUGCAUGUGCCUGUGUGUGUCUGAGUCAGUCUGUGUGUGUGUGUGUGUGUGUGUGUGUGUGUGUGCCUGUGUGUGUGUGCCUGUCUAUGUCUGUGGUGGGGGAGUAGGAUAACGUGCUGUGUCAACACACAGACACACACACGCACACGCACACGCACACCAACCAGACAGCCGGGGUAGAAGAAUAAACACAGACACACCCUCAGGAAAACCGCCCCCUCACAUCCUCAUCCUCCUCCCAGAUCGUGUGUCACGCUCCCCGUUCGUUGCCCUGGGUGAGGACAGAAUAACUAACAGACCAAGGGUUUUGUUGUAGCUAAGACUAGCUACUGUGAAAUGUGUUUUGAUAGGGCCUGUGGGCAAUCUGGGCAUCUACAGUGAAACGUAGCCGUGGGUGGGGGAGGCAUUGGAAUAACAUUGUUACUGCUGUCCGGUAACACUGGGCGUGCAUCCCAAAUGGAACUCUAUUCCCAUUUAUACUGCAUUACUUCGGGCUUUGGUCAAAAGUAGUGCACUUGAUAGGAAGUAGGGUGCUAUUUGGGGCGUAGCACUGGAUUAGGAUACCGUUAAGAAGUAGGAAAGGUUAUGCUGCUGCUACUGUUUAUUUUGGUGAAAGGAGAAGUCUGAGGGGAAUAUGAGAAAGCAGGCAGAAAGGGUGUAUUCUGUAGUACAUGUGAAAACUACUAUAAAUCUACUAUAAAUCUACUAUAAAUCUACUAUAAAUCUUUCCUGCACCACUAUAUCAAAACAUGCCAUCAAAUGUACUUGUCUCUUUAGUUUUUCCACUGCGUCUCUUUCAUUUCGUUGUAGACAUACAUCAUGAAGUCACAUGCUCUUUAACAUCCUCAAGUAGAAGUGCGGAGGGGGAAUGGGGGCCAUGUAUGAGACAGGGUCCCCCUGCCCCUCCCUGGGAGUGUAGACAGGACCUCCCCCCUCCAUCCAUUGUGGACCUCCCCCACACCUUCAU